AAUGAACGCUGGCGGCGUGCUUAACACAUGCAAGUCGAACGAUGAAGCCCAGCUUGCUGGGCGGAUUAGCGGCGAACGGGUGAGUAACACGUGAGUAACCUGCCCUUGACUCUGGGAUAAGCCCGGGAAACUGGGUCUAAUACCGGAUAGGAACGCCCAUCGCAUGAUGGGUGUUGGAAAGAUUUUUCGGUCAUGGAUGGACUCGCGGCCUAUCAGCUUGUUGGUGAGGUAAUGGCUCACCAAGGCGACGACGGGUAGCCGGCCUGAGAGGGUGACCGGCCACACUGGGACUGAGACACGGCCCAGACUCCUACGGGAGGCAGCAGUGGGGAGUAUUGCACAAUGGGCGAAAGCCUGAUGCAGCGACGCCGCGUGAGGGAUGACGGCCUUCGGGUUGUAAACCUCUUUCAGUAGGGAAGAAGCGAAAGUGACGGUACCUGCAGAAGAAGCACCGGCUAACUACGUGCCAGCAGCCGCAGUAACAC
rnacentral:rRNA from 1 species